rnacentral:rRNA from 1 species
AUUGAACGCUGGCGGCAGGCCUAACACAUGCAAGUCGAGCGGAGCGGCGGACGGGAGAGUAAUGCCUAGGAAUAUGCCUGGUAGUGGGGGAUAACGUCCGGAAACGGGCGCUAAUACCGCAUACUAUCAGAUGAGCCUAGGUCGGAUUAGCUAGUUGGUGGGGUAAAGGCCUACCAGGGCGACGAUCCGUAACUGGUCUGAGAGGAGGAUCAGUCACACUGGAACGAGGACACGGUCCAGACUCCUACGGGAGGCAGCGGUGGGGAAUAUUGGACAUUGGGCGAAGGCCUGAUCCGGCCAUGCCGCGUGUGUGAGGAAGGGCUUCGGAUUGUAAAGCACUUUAAGUUGGGAGGCGUUACCAACAGAAUAAGCACCGGCUAACUUCGUGCCAGCAGCCGCGGUAAUUC